CCUAUUCCAUCCAGGAAGAUCGCUCAGUCCAUUACUCCAUUUGCAUUCCAAAUCUCACUUCCUCUCUUUCAAGAAAAUUGCACCACCAUGCCAACUUCCGGAGAAUUGAGUGGCAGUCAAUUCUGGGAAGCUGCUCCUCCUCAGGCAGUUGCCCAUAAAGGCAGGGUCUGAGAACAGGCCUCGUCAGAGCUCUGGGUCUCCUCCUAAACGUCUAGCCUUCCCAUCUCCGGGCACCAUGGUCUCCUUGCCUGUCUUCUCCGUCUUGAUCAUUUCCACGUCUGGCCUCCUUUGCAUAUCUCCAGCAGAUGCCUCCACAAGUAGCUGCUGCUUCUCAUAUAUUACCAGGCAGAUCCCAGGAAGAUGGUGGUGGACUAUGUUUAUACCAGCAAGCUGUGCCCUAUUCCAGGGGUCAUAUUAACCUCCA